rnacentral:rRNA from 1 species
GACGAACGCUGGCGGCGUGCUUAACACAUGCAAGUCGAACGGGAUCCGGGCUUUCGGGUUUGGUGAGAGUGGCGAACGGGUGAGUAACACGUGAGUAACCUGCCCCCUUCUUUGGGAUAACGUCGGGAAAUCGGCGCUAAUACUGGAUAUUCUUGCUGCAUCGCAUGGUGUGGUUUGGAAAGGGUUUCUGGUGGGGGAUGGGCUCGCGGCCUAUCAGCUUGUUGGUGGGGUGAUGGCCUACCAAGGCUUUGACGGGUAGCCGGCCUGAGAGGGUGUCCGGCCACACUGGGACUGAGACACGGCCCAGACUCCGACGGGAGGCAGCAGUGGGGAAGAUUGCACAAUGGGCGCAAGCCUGAUGCAGCGACGCCGCGUGAGGGAUGACGGCCUUCGGGUUGUAAACCUCUUUCAGUAUGGAACAAGGAUCCUUCUUUUGGGGGGUUUGAGGGUACGUGCAGAAGAAGCGCCGGCUAACUACGUG